GAUGAACGCUGGCGGUGUGCCUAAUACAUGCAAGUCGAGCGAACAGACGAGGAGCUUACUCCUCUGACGUUAGCGGCGGACGGGUGAGUAACACGUGGAUAACCUACCUAUAAGACUGGGAUAACUUCGGGAAACCGGAGCUAAUACCGGAUAACAUGUUGAACCGCAUGGUUCAACAGUGAAAGACGGUCUUGCUGUCACUUAUGGAUGGAUCCGCGUCGCAUUAGCUAGUUGGUAAGGUAACGGCUUACCAAGGCAACGAUGCGUAGCCGACCUGAGAGGGUGAUCGGCCACACUGGAACUGAGACACGGUCCAGACUCCUACGGGAGGCAGCAGUAGGGAAUCUUCCGCAAUGGGCGAAAGCCUGACGGAGCAACGCCGCGUGAGUGAAGAAGGUCUUCGGAUCGUAAAACUCUGUUAUUAGGGAAGAACAAAUGUGUAAGUAACUAUGCACGUCUUGACGGUACCUAAUCAGAAAGCCACGGCUAACUACGUG
rnacentral:rRNA from 1 species